UUACACCAGCCUUUGAUUUAUAUAUCCACCGUCCACUGAUCAGUGACCUGAAAAGGUUGGGCGCUCUGAGCUAGCACAUAAGCUGAUUGAUGAGAUGGAUUGAAAUGCUUUUGAUUUGUUAGGCCGUCAAUAUUCCAAACUGAAGUCCAAGGAAGAACGAUCAGGAACAGCAGGUAAGAAGCCCAUGAGUUAGUUGUCUUACAGGCAUGCACGUGCACAAGGUGCUGAUACAUAGUUGCAGAUUUCCAAUGGAUGCUGGUAUUGUCGGCUGACAUCUCCGGGGCUGUACAUCAUGAUGGUUACCAAGACACGACAAUGAUCUCAAUGCUACAAACCUGAAUGGAAUACCAUAACUGCAGACCUGAUCACAAUGCUACAGACUUGAAUGAAAUACCAUGAUUGCAGGCCUUUGCUGAUUUGCGUUUUCCAUUGAUCUUCAAUGCACUAAAGAAUAGUGAAAUCUUGCCAUCUGAUUCAUUUUGCAGGCUAUGCUUUUAACUCAAUGAAAAUGUGCAUUGUUAGUUGACCUUAUUGUCUGUUUGUAGCUAAUUGGGAGACAAACAUGGGCAAUGAGCAGCUUUUUUGAUGACAGUGCAAUCAAGGACUCACAUAUUCACUGAUGAAUCUACCUCUAUUUGGUACUGUGUAUAUACCUGAAAAUAGUAGCAUCGGCUUUGCAUAUUUAUUUUCUGAAUCAGCAACACUGUAUUAGGGUCUUCAUCGGCAAUGUACAUAGUGAUGCUUAACUGCCGGUUUGAAUUAUUGGAUGCAUCUGUUGUGAGACAUUCAUGUGUUGUCAUAGUGACUUGCCUGCGCUCAUUGUUGAUCGCUAAGAAGUGAGUUGGUCCAGAGAUUGCAGCUGCGAUGGAGCUCAGCAGGACAACUAGACAUGCACAGCUUGGUGUGAUCCACAGAGGAGAUCACAUUUCCAGUCCAGUCAUAAAUUAUUAUAAUUAUUUUACUCAUGUUCAUACUAAAUUUGAAACGGGUCAAUCCACAAGCUUCUGAUCCUUGGUUCAUUUUUUAACUAUAUCCAUGUGUUCUAUCAAGGAUCAUUUUGGCGCAUAUGGAAAAGACAAGCAAUUUUGUUACCAGAAUUAUCAUAUUUGUAAGGUCAAUCACCCAUGGGUUCUGCACUUCACUAGAAAUAAUUUGUACCCUUGACCUGAUAAGUUGUUGUUGUUGUAUUAUGAAUUAUUCAUAGUAUGAGACCAAAUUUAUUGUUUUAGUUUCAUACAAUUUUUUGUUCUUUGAUAAA